rnacentral:rRNA from 1 species
AUUGAACGCUGGCGGCAGGCUUAACACAUGCAAGUCGAGCGAGCGGCGGACGGGUGAGUAAUUUCUGGGAAACUGCCUGAUGGAGGGGGAUAACUACUGGAAACGGUCGCUAAUACCGCAUACCCUCAGAUGUGCCCAGAUGGGAUUACCUAGUAGGUGGGGUAAUGGCUAACCUAGGCGACGAUCCCUAGCUGGGCUGAGAGGAUGACCAGCAACACGGGACCUGAGAACCGGGCAAGACUCCUACGGGAGGCAGCAGUGGGGAAUAUUGCACAAUGGGCGAAAGCCUGAUGCAGACAUGCCGCGUGUGUGAAGAAGGCCUUCGGGUUGUAAAGCACUUUCAGCGAGGAGGCGUUACGCGCAGAAGAAGCACCGGCUAACUCCGUGCCAGCCGCCGCGGUAAUUC